GAUGAACGCUGGCGGCGUGCCUAAUACAUGCAAGUCGAGCGAACAGACGAGGAGCUUGCUCCUUUGACGUUAGCGGCGGACGGGUUAGUAACACGUAGGUAACCUACCUAUAAGACUGGGAUAACUUCGGGAAAACGGAGCUAAUACCGGAUAAUAUUUCGAACCGCAUGGUUCGAUAGUGAAAGAUGGCUUUGCUAUCACUUAUAGAUGGACCUGCGCCGUAUUAGCUAGUUGGUAAGGUAACGGCUUACCAAGGCAACGAUACGUAGCCGACCUGAGAGGGUGAUCCGCCACACUGGAACUGAGACACGGUCCAGACUCCUACGGGAGGCAGCAGUAGGGAAUCUUCCGCAAUGGGGGAAAGCCUGACGGAGCAACGCCGCGUGAGUGAUGAAGGUCUUCGGAUCGUAAAACUCUGUUAUUAGGGAAGAACAAACGUGUAAGUAACUGUGCACGUCUUGACGGUACCUAAUCAGAAAGCCACAGCUAACUACGUG
rnacentral:rRNA from 1 species